rnacentral:snRNA from 1 species
AUCGCUUCUCGGCCUUUUGGCUAAGAUCAAGUGUAAACAUUAGCAUGCUUAUUGUUAACUAUACUUGCAUGUUUUCAACUGUUUCUAAACUGCAACAAGAGAUUUUAAUUUCUUCUAGUUUCCUUCAAAUUUGCUUUCAUUAUCCACAUGUGGAUAAACAUAU